rnacentral:rRNA from 1 species
UACAGAGGUCUCAAGCGUUGUUCGGAUUCAUUGGGCGUAAAGGGUGCGUAGGCGGCGCGGUAAGUCGGGUGUGAAAGUCUCGGAGCUUAACUCCGAAACUGCAUUCGAUACUGCCGUGCUUGAGGACUGGAGAGGAGACUGGAAUUUACGGUGUAGCGGUGAAAUGCGUAGAUAAUCGUAAGGAAGACCAGUGGCGAAGGCGGGUCUCUGGACAGUUCCUGACGCUGAG